CUAUCUUUUCUCGUCUAUAUAAAACUUUCUGAACUGAUCAUCUCCCUACGCAUUGCAUUGGACCCUCUCUCUCUCUCUCUCUCUCUUCUUAUCGUUGAUCACCAUUAUUCUAUCCUGAUUUUUCACUUACUAAUGAAACACUAUGAACUUUUACUUGUUUUUUCUCCUAAUCCUUCUAGUCUCCCAUGAUCUGUUUGCUCACUCAAGUUUGGCCACAAGAAAACUACAAGAUAUGGAGACCAAGACUAAGAAGUUAAGAGGAGCAUCAAAUAAUUUUUGGGACAAGCUGUACUAUUCAUCAUCUGUCGAAGGAAAUCAUCAUGUCAAAAGGAAAGCGUUGCACGAAGUACAUUCAGGAGCAAAUCCUAUCAGUAAUUCUAUCAAUUCCUGAGCAUAAAGGGCGGCAUCAUCUUACAAUCGAAGAAGUGCCCGCCCAUACUCUUUUAUUUCCUUCAUCAUAUAUUCUUCCUUAAUUUGAAUAGCUAGCUGCUCCAAAAUGCAUAAAAAUUAAUGAUUAAAAAUGCACUGUAGAUUUCAUUCAAAAGUCAAGUAAUACUGUGCGUCUUUCAACUCAACGUAAAGAUGUCGAUUCCUUUCCCACGUUGAGUUGUGAGAUAAGGCUAUCAAGAUUGCCAUGCAUCGUAAAGUAUUCUAAAGUAGUGGGAAAAUGACAAAUUAAAGCACAAAAAAAGAAAAAAAAAAAAAUCACUUCAGCCACCUAUUCAGAGCACUUAUCCUAUGAGUUUCAAAUUACAACUGUUGGUACUUUGAUAUAAAUUUUGAAGAAAAUAAUUACAGGACCAUCAAUAUCGUAUGGUACUAUUUUCUUAUGUUAAAUUUGUAGGUAUACGUAUUAGCAAGUUUUGCAUGUAUCUUGCUCACAAAUCUGCCUUACUAAUUAAUUAGGUUCUGUUUGUAAAUCUUAACGUAGUGAUAAAGCAAUUACGUAAAAAAUGCGAAGAAUUGGUUGGAAGGGGCAAGGGAAAAAAUGCUGAGAUUAUAUUAUGCAAGAGAGAUAAAAUAAUCGCGCUUUGAGUGAGACACACACACGAGGAUAUUCCAAUCUCAUCAAAGAUUUUCCCCACCUAUAGAUGCCUACUGGUACAGGAUGUUUUGCAUUGUAUAGAUUAUAGCUAGCUGCUGUAGUGAUACUUCAGAGGAGAUGGAUUAAUGGAGCAGUGACUAGAGGGCCUAAAGAGCCUGAUUGAUUUGCUUUAAGACGGCAGAGGGUCACAAGGCAGCAAAAGGCUAAGUUUUUAGUUGACCAAUGACAUAUCAUGAACCGAAAAUAUAUGAUGAAUUUAGGAACAAUUCUAGGUAAAUCAACAUUUUAGAUUAGAGUAAUG